UUCUUUAUAUAAAGCUUUUUGUGCUUGCCUUGAUAUUUCUCAGGUGUUCAGUCUUCAACACCAGGGACCAGGGUUUGAAACUGGUUUUCAACACCACUGUUAUAAUUUCCGGAGGUAACCCUGAUGUCAUCAUUGAGGAAACAACACUUUUGAAAAUCAUAUUUGAUUCUCCUAACAAACCAAGGACCUUGGUUGCAAACCAAAGAAACCUACUCUGCUUCAUUGAAACAAAGAAGGAAUUCGUGAGAAAGACUCCGGGAAGUUCAUGGAAUUGUCCAGAUGUGGAGAACAGGUGGCAGAGAAGAGACUGCAGUUGUGGCCAAGACUCCCCCUGAGCUCACCCUCCUUCCCUGCCUGCCCAGAAUUGCCUUUAUCAGAGGAAGGUGGAUUUGAACAGGAAGAAAAGUUAAUUUUUCUGUUGAAUCAACGUUGCCCCUUUUGAUUGGCAGCAGGGGUAAAAACUUUGAACCCAAGUUAAAAUGUAAGCCUUUGCCUCACUUUAUUUCAAUUUUUUUGUUGAUUUACCAUUCAACAGACAUUUAUAGAAUACUUUUGUAUGUAAGGAAAUAUGCUAUGAGCUUAUUUAUUUCUUUUUGUACUUGUUCAUU
rnacentral:lncRNA from 1 species